rnacentral:rRNA from 1 species
ACGAACGCUGGUCGCAUGCCUCAGAAAUGAGAGUCGAACGAAGGCUUCGGCCUUACUGGCGCACGGUUGCCCAGCGCGUGGGAACCUGCCCUGGAGUGGGGAAUAACCGAGGGAAACUUCGGCUAAUACCGCAUACGCCGGGAAACCGGGAAAGAUUUAUCGCUCUAGGAGGGGCCCGCGUCGGAUUAGCUAGUUGGUGGGGUAAUGGCCUACCAAGGCGACGAUCCGUGGCUGGUCUGAGAGGAUGAUCAGCCACACUGGGACUGAGACACGGCCCAUACUCCUACGGGAGGCAGCACUGGG